CAUGAGUGAAGCCUUUUCUUGCUGCACUUCUGAAAGAAAUAGUCCAGAAGAAUGAACAAUAAGUCAUUGACUGGAUGAUGGUGGGAGUCAUCAAACCUGGACCACCAGCUGAGUACAGACCCUUGCUUGUGUCUCCGUGUUCACAUCAGUUGUGAAUGUGAAUUGAGACUCUGGUACCUCUUGGAGCUCAAGGAGGAUGUGACACUGGAACUUCAGGGUGGGACUCUAAAGCAAGAGUCAGAAGCUCUUCCUGAGCCUAAUGCCUGAGCCACACCAGGAUGUGACCCAGUAUUAUGAAACCAUUUGGGAGCCUGACCUGGGACAUCUGUUAAAGGGGCAACUUGUUACAUACCUCAUAGAGCUGUUGUGAGGAGAACGUGAGCAAUGAGCAGAUUUGUGGAUAGUAUGUAACCCACAGUACUGAACCAAACAGUAUGUAUUGUUCUCCCCAACCUUCUCCUUUACUCAAAUGACAGAACUU